AUUAGUAGUACAAGAUUGGAGAGAGAGAAAAAUCAAGUGGUGUUUCUUCUACCCUAGCUAACCCAAAAUCAAAAUCAAAACCUCUCAUCUCAAGCUCAAAGUUGAUCAGAUUGAACGACGAUGAUGACAUUGAACACUUCCUUCUUUGUGGCACUUGUGCUUGCUCAAUCAACUCUUAAAGCCGCUUUAAACCCGCCUAGCAACGGCGAAUUUGACACAGUGUCCCGGCUCUUUAUCUGGUGCGACGUUUUAUCCGCGGUUAGCUCACUCCUUGUUGCCGCAUGUGUUGUGUGGGCUAAGUUAGGUGGUGGUCAGUUAGCCCACGAUGCCCGCGAGUUUUCGGCAGCUUUCCUCGUGGUCGCUAUGUUCAUGAUGUACAUAUCUUACAUUCUAGCACUUCACAUUAGGAGCCCCGAGGCUCUCCCGAUCUUUGACGUUGGGAUGUUUAUGUUUUUCACCGGCGUGUUUGGUCUAAUCAUGCUCGUUGUGCUGUUUCGGACUAGAUGGAGUCGGCUUGCAUCCUUUGUACUUGGUCGUGCUUAGUUAGCUAUGGAUUCAUUAAUGAAGUGUAACUAUUACACAUUGUGAAACUUUGACACUAUUUAGGAUGGUAUGAAUUUAAUCAGACAUUUGUGAUGUAAACACCAAGAUAUGUUAUUGUCUCCUUACUAGACAUGAUUUUCUGA